UUGUAUGGACGUGACCGAUAUAGAAGGGACGUUGUCUAAUAUACUCACCAGUCAUUGGGGAACCACCAACACCUUCGUCUGUUUCCCCCUCAUUUGAACUCAUCAUUAAAUUUCAAGCAUCUAUUUAUAUGAGGAGAUGUAGGCCUGAAAAGGAUGCAUGAUCUUUAGUUCAGACUGAGAACAGUGACCACUGUCCAGGGAUCAACUGUACACGAUGCUGCCGUGGAUGGUCGUCGUCUGCUUUGUUCUGACGUCACACACUCUCCUCACCUUGGAGACAUUCGACUGUAACUCUGGGUCGAGUGUGUUCCAGGCCAUCUAUGACGAGGUCAACAAACCGAGCAACAAUCGCUCUUUGUGCUUCUACCUGAGACUAUGCAGAAUUCGCCCAAUGCCUAAACAGUGUUCAAAUUCAAUUGGUACCUGGCACAGAUGACAGACAGAUAAACACACAGUUGUGACUGGAGACCGCUCGUUGUUUGGCUUGACGGAGAUGUCUUUUUAUGUGUGACUUCGUGUCUUUUUUGAGCUUGUGAUAUUUUUUCCGCUGUUGAAAAUAUUUUGUAAAUAAAAGUGUAAAAACUCCUUUAUGAACGGAGAGUU